rnacentral:rRNA from 1 species
GACGAACGCUGGCGGCGUGCUUAACACAUGCAAGUCGAACGGAAAGGCCCUGCUUUUGUGGGGUGCUCGAGUGGCGAACGGGUGAGUAACACGUGAGUAACCUGCCCUUGACUUUGGGAUAACUUCAGGAAACUGGGGCUAAUACCGGAUAGGAGCUCCUGCUGCAUGGUGGGGGUUGGAAAGUUUCGGCGGUUGGGGAUGGACUCGCGGCUUAUCAGCUUGUUGGUGGGGUAGUGGCUUACCAAGGCUUUGACGGGUAGCCGGCCUGAGAGGGUGACCGGCCACAUUGGGACUGAGAUACGACACAGACUCCUACGGGAGGCAGCAGUGGGGAAUAUUGCACAAUGGGCGGAAGCCUGAUGCAGCAACGCCGCGUGCGGGAUGACGGCCUUCGGGUUGUAAACCGCUUUCGCCUGUGACGAAGCGUGAGUGACGGUAAUGGGUAAAGAAGCACCGGCUAACUACGU